rnacentral:rRNA from 1 species
AAUUAACGCUGGCGGCAUGCCUAACACAUGCAAGUCGCACGAGAAAGCCCGGUUCGCCGGGCGAGUAAAGUGGCGCACGGGUGAGUAACGCGUGGAUAAUCUACCUCUAUCUGGGGGAUAACGCACCGAAAGGUGCGCUAAUACCGCAUAUUCCGGCGGGUCGUAAGUCCUGUCGGUAAAGGUGGCCUCUUCUUGAAAGCUACCGGGUGGAGAUGAGUCCGCGUCCCAUUAGCUAGUUGGUGGGGUAAAGGCCCACCUAGGCGACGAUGGGUAGCUGGUCUGAGAGGACGAUCAGCCACACUGGAACUGGAACACGGUCCAGACUCCUACGGGAGGCAGCAGUGAGGAAUAUUGCGCAAUGGGGGAAACCCUGACGCAGCGAUGCCGCGUGGGUGAAGAAGGCCUUCGGGUCGUAAAGCCCUGUCAAGUGGGAAGAACAGCGGCGGGACGAAUAAUCCCGUCGUGUGACGGUACCACUGAAGGAAGCACCGGCUAACUCCGUGC